rnacentral:pre_miRNA from 12 species
ACCCAGCUCAGAAUGGCUCGUGGUUCCUUUUUCCUAUGCAUAUACUUCUUUGAGAAUAAAUUCUAAAGAGGCGUAGGGCAUGGGAAAAUGGGGCCACGGAGCUCCUCCUCCUCGUCUU